AUUUCAGCUCUUUAUAUGUUUUAAUGAGUAGAAUGAAAUAUGCAAUACACAUCCUGAAAAGUGAAAAAGUGUUCCUAGGGUAGCCUUAGUACAUACAGGAAUAUAAUUUUCUCAGUUAUUUUUUUCUUUUCAUUGCCUAUUGAGGGUUUUGUUCAUUGCUUGCCCUCCCAAUGUUUGUUGUGUAUUCAUUUGAGAGGUAACUUCUAUCCUUGAAGAACAAGUGAACAACCAAGUGGUAAGCCACGAAGCUGCUUGAGUUUGUGGUCAAAUGGUUUGGAGGGUGAUCAAGUAUUUUCUGAGUUUAUGGUUGGUUUUCGUUGUUUUUGUUAGAUUAGAAUUAGCCUACAAACUUUACAGUAAAUUGGAGGACUAUGCAAUUAGUAAUUGGCUUUGUAAAUCAGGUGUUCUGUAAGGCAGAAAUGGAGGAAUGUAUAGAUUUGAUAAUGGAAGAAUUAGAGAGAGUUUGUAAGAGUUAGUGAAAAAGUUUGUGAACCAGCUUUUAUGAUAUGUAAAACGAUAGUAUAUUCGGCAAACAUUAUAAGAUUGUGACUAUUACUCUUAUCGCCUAAACCCGCAGC
rnacentral:lncRNA from 1 species